rnacentral:rRNA from 1 species
UACGUAGGGUGCAAGCGUUGUCCGGAAUUAUUGGGCGUAAAGAGCUCGUAGGCGGUCUGUCGCGUCGGCUGUGAAAUCCCGGAGCUCAACUCCGGGCCUGCAGUCGAUACGGGCAGACUGGAGUUCGGCAGGGGAGACUGGAAUUCCUGGUGUAGCGGUGAAAUGCGCAGAUAUCAGGAGGAACACCGGUGGCGAAGGCGGGUCUCUGGGCCGAUACUGACACUGAGGAGCGAAAGCGUGGGGAGCGAACAGG